CCUACGGGUGGCAGCAGUGGGGAAUAUUGGGCAAUGGGCGCAAGCCUGACCCAGCAACGCCGCGUGAAGGAAGAAGGCUUUCGGGUUGUAAACUUCUUUUGUCAGGGAAGAGUAGAAGACGGUACCUGACGAAUAAGCCACGGCUAACUACGUGCCAGCAGCCGCGGUAAUUCGUAGGUGGCAAGCGUUGUCCGGAUUUACUAGGUGUAAAGGGCGUGUAGCCGGGUUGACAAGUCAGCUGUGAAAGCCUUCGGCUUAACCGCAGAACUGCAUUUGAAACUGUUGAGCUUGAGUACUGGAGAGGCAGACGGAAUUCCUAGUGUAGCGGGGAAAUGCGUAGAUAGUAGGAGGAACACCAGUGGCGAAGGCGGUCUGCUGGACAGCAACUGACGGUGAGGCGCGAAAGCGUGGGGAGCAAACAGGAUUAGAUACCCCGGUAGUC
rnacentral:rRNA from 1 species